GUAAGGCAGGACGAUCCCUUCAGCAGCUGUAAAAACACGUUUCUAGCUCAUGAACAUCUAAGAAGAAGAGCCUCAAACCCUCCCUCACUAUUGUGGACCGCCUCAUCAAACUGGAGAUGCUGUUCUGCAAAGUGCGUGGCAACACCCUCCCUAAGGAGGUCUGCUGAGGACUUUUCUUCGGAGAGCAGAAUGUAGGCCUCCAAACCACUCCAGCAAACCUACCCUCCCUCCCCCAGCUCACAAGGCCUCCGGUCUGCACCCCACAAUCCAAAGUCCAGCUCUGGCCCCGCGGAAGACCCUCUGCUCAAGCCCCACAGGGAUCUAUUGGCAGCAACCCUCCGGGCCCAGCCUUCUUCCUUUCUGGCUCUAUCACCCUUUUCUUACCAACACUAUAACCAAGAGAAAUCACUCACCCGUGGGCUUUUUCUACCUCAAGGGGAAAGACCUGAGGAGAAAACUGCAAGCCAAACCCAGGGAGAGGAAACGAGCUUGUCUCAGCAGAGCCAGGAAGUGGGGCGGGGCGGGGCCUUGGGAAGGGAUGGGAAAACGGGAAGAAGGUGGCUUAGCCCGGAAUCCAGGAGGAAAGUGAAGGUGGGCAAUGGAAGUGGAGUGGGCCCUGGCUGGAUGACGAGGAGGUUCCGAUUGGCUGGAGGAAAGUCGGGGAGGGGUGGAGCCCUGCCUGUGGCUAUUUGGGGACCAGUCGCAGAUCCAGCUAAAGAACCUCUGCCCAGGAGUCCUGGAAAC
rnacentral:lncRNA from 1 species